UGACUCAUAGGGUUUGGCGUGAGUCCCCCUAUAGCCUGGUGGCCUCCAACACCCUGCUGGUGGCCUGACCGUCCUGGCCCUCCCUGGCCAGCCGUCCACCACCACCUUCACCCGGCAGCCGCUGCAGCGGAACAAUGGGAGGAUCACAGGCUACGUGAUAUUCCUCACCAUGGACCAAACUGUCAGUGACUGGGUGACGGGGGAAGUGACGGGGGACUGGCUCACCCUCACCGUCCAUGGACUGACGCCUUCAAGGAAGUAUUUGCACAAGAUGCACUCUCACAAUGUCAAAGGUUUUGGUCCAUUCUCCUCCGUGGAAAGCUUCACGACUUCCAGCUGUUGACAAGAGCAUCGGUGAGCCCCCUGGCUGGUGUGUGGAGCGAGAGGCCUGAUUGUGCUGGUGAUCGCUGGCGUGGCAGGAGCCAUGACCAGCUGGGGGCCUUCUUGGCCACCACACUGUACUGCCGCGGGUCAAGGCGGAGCCCAGGCCAAGCAUUGUUCUUGGCGGCAGCUGCAGUGAGAGCAACAAGCCUGGCGUCCAGCCUCCAGACCUGUGGAUCCAUCACGGUCACUUGGAGCUGAAGAACUUUGACAAGGGUGAGCGCAGCAACUCCCCCAACCACGCCUCCAUCAUCCAGCACACAGCUGAAGAUCAGCAACAAUUAGAUGACGGCACUGGGCCAGAGGCUUGGGGCACUCCGGGAGGCUCUGCAGGACAAGGCCAAGGAAGCAAAGAGUGGCCAGGCUGUGAGACCGAGGCACAGAGAGCCAAGACGGCCGAGGGUUUAUCAAGACUGACACCAACGUGACGGUCAGAGUGUUAGAGGCCUCAGCAUCACCAGACCUUGGGAGCAGCAGCAGCCCAGUGCCAACACCAGGCCACAGGACCCCAGGCCGCCCAGACCACUGCCAGUGCCGGGGAUCUUCAGACCCGUCUCCAGCCUUAGGGAAUGGAGGGCGGAGGGCUGCAGUGGCGGUGGCGGCUAUAGUAAUGUGUCAGCAGUAUUUUUUUUCUGCCUCUAGGUGUGGUAGUCUUUCUUGGUGGUGGGUCCCGUCGGCCAGCCCCAGCCCUCUAUAGUGCAGGGAAGUGUUUAUAUUGGUGCCACCUUGCCUGGCUCACCUUUGAUCCUCUUUUAGAAAGAGAAUCUAGAGUCUGGGUUGACAGGCGUCCACCAGGACAGCAUGUGGGUAGUGUUGGGCCACUCGGCGGUGACUGAAAAAUACUGUCUAUGGUGGCGGGCGGGACCCAAACCCCCAUCCUGCACUGGUAGUCACUUUUUGUGUCAAUUAUUUAUUAUUAUUAUUAUUAUUAUUAUUAUUAUUAUUAUUAUUAUUAUUAUUAUUAUUAUUAUUAUUAUUAUUAUCAUCUUUUUUAUGUCCUAGCCUAUAGCAGCGGCAGGCUUUGGUCAGUGGCCUGGCGGUGGGCCCGCGGUGUUUUCAGUGGCAGGGUUGUAAUUCCUGGGGCUGGAUAGAGAUUCCCAAAUAUCUUCUGCAUCGGCCUCCAAAUGCCCCGAAGAGUGCUGGGUUUUCAAAAAUUUCCCCCACCUGAGGAUGCCUUCUAGACCCCCAAAAUAUCCGCCAAAAUUAGUCCUGAGUGGUGGUGGUGGUGUUGAAAGUGUUAAUGACAGUGAUGAGAAGCAUUGUUAGGGGUGCUGGUGUGUAGUGAUGAAGUGGUGGUGAUGUCAGUCUGUGGUGGUGUUGAAAACAAGCCUCUUUUAAACGGUGAUGAGUGGUGGUGAACGGUGUUUUCUGUACUGGUGGUGAUGAAAAUUGGUGUUGAUGGCCUUUGUGGAGGUGUUGAUGGCAGUGGUGGUGAAAUAUAGGCAUUUUUAGAGGUUCUGGUGUUGAUGGUGGAGGUACUUGUGUUGGUGGUGAUGAAAAUUGGUGUUAUAGCCCUGGUGGUGAUCUCUAUACCUAAUGGUGUUGUAAAUAUGCAUCUUUAGUGGUGUGGCAGUGCUGAAAGCAGUGGUGAUGAAAAAUUGGUGUCUAGUGGUGUUGUGUGGUGGUGAAACAUGCAUCAACACCAUUUUUGUCCAUUCCAAAAUUUCAUGUCUAUCUAUUGCAGUUCAUUUUUAUUUUUAUUACUUCAACAGUAAAUUAGAAUGCUCAAGGUAAUGGAAAGAAAUGAAGAAAGAGAGAGACAGGAGAGGAUAAAAAUAGCUUAAUCUAUCUAUCCCACUCUACUCUGCAAGGUGUACAAUAGGGAACAUAGUCUUUCAUUACACCCAGUCCUUCAGCUCUUAGGGAUGGCCCCAGAGUCCAGUCUUAGCAGUUAAGUCCCCUAAGAGAGAGAGAGAGAGAGAGAGAGAGAGAGAGAGAAUCAAAUAAACAUUAGAGUAAACGAAAAUGGAAAAAAAGGGAGAGAGAGGGGGGAGGGGUCGUUCAUUAUCAUGGCUAUUAUUAUUAUUAUUAAGGGAGUCUAGUUGGUCAUUAUUAGCAUUUCCUAUCUCCCAUUUCCUUAUAUUGAUAAAAUUUGUAUUUAUUUUGCAGAUUUGAGUCAACAGGAGGAAGAAGAAGAAGGAGGAGGAGGAGGAAGUGAUAAUAAGAGGAAUACCAAAAGAAGAACAAGAGUUUGAACAGUAGUAAUAGUAUUUGCCUCUACACAUUCUCUCUCUCUCUCUCUCUCUCUCUCUCUCUCUCUCUCUCUCUCUCUCUCUCUCUCUCUCU